UAAUACAGAGGGUGCGAGCGUUAAUCGGAAUUACUGGGCGUAAAGCGUGCGUAGACGGUUAUUUAAGUCGGAUGUGAAAGCCCCGGGCUCAACCUGGGAAUUGCAUUCGAGACUGAAUAGCUAGGGUGCGGUAGAGGGAAGCGGAAUUUCCGGUGUAGCGGUGAAAUGCGUAGAUAUCGGAAGGAACAUCAGUGGCGAAAGCGGCUUCCUGGACCAGCACCGACGUUCAGGCACGAAAGCGUGGGGAGCAAACAGGAUUAGAUACCCUGGUAGUCCACGCCAUAAACGAUGAGGACUAGACGUUGGAGGGGUAAGCCUUUCAGUGUCGUAGCUAACGCGCUAAGUCCUCCGCCUGGGGAGUACGGCCGCAAGGUUG
rnacentral:rRNA from 1 species